UACAGGGGGGGCAAGCGUUGUUCGGAAUUACUGGGCGUAAAGGGCGCGUAGGCGGCCUUCUAAGUCGAACGUGAAAUCCCCGGGCUCAACCCGGGAACUGCGUCCGAUACUGGAAGGCUUGAAUCCGGGAGAGGGAUGCGGAAUUCCAGGUGUAGCGGUGAAAUGCGUAGAUAUCAUUUGGAACGCCAAUGGUGAAAACAGCUCGCUGGGGAUGUACUGACGCUGAGACACGAAAGCCAGGGGAGCAAACGGG
rnacentral:rRNA from 1 species